UUCCUACGGGAGGCAGCAGUGGGGAAUAUUGCACAAUGGGCGCAAGCCUGAUGCAGCAACGCCGCGUGAGCGAAGAAGGUCUUCGGAUCGUAAAGCUCUGUCCUUGAGGAAGAAGGAAGUGACGGUACUCAAGGAGGAAGCCCCGGCUAACUACGUGCCAGCAGCCGCGGUAAUACGUAGGUGGCAAGCGUUGUCCGGAUUUACUGGGUGUAAAGGGCGUGUAGCCGGGCUGACAAGUCAGAUGUGAAAUUCCGGGGCUCAACCCCGGCCCUGCAUUUGAAACUGUUGGUCUUGAGUAUCGGAGA
rnacentral:rRNA from 1 species